rnacentral:lncRNA from 1 species
AGCUUGGAGCCGCAGGGCUUAAUCCCGCGCGGCUCAGAGAUGGGUUUCUGGACUCGCGAAGCAGCUGCAACAAGGCAUCACUCACUGUAUAAGUAUUUCCAUUUCUGAGAGCAAAAGGAAGAACUUAAGCGGGCGGCACUUGGAGUGUAAAUUGCUUUGUAGUAUUUAAAGGCAGAAUGGAUCCUGGGCAGCCGAGCUGCAACAAACCGGCAGGACUUCCUGUGAAAUCAUGACCACCAUGUGCUCUUUCAGCCUCUAUCAGUUCCUACCUCUAAGCACCUGAGAGCCAAAGCAAACCACAGGAAACCACAGACUCAAACUAAACGUCAGCUUUUCCCGGCUCUCAAGCCUGCUGGUCCCUGAACUAAAACUCACAUUAUCAACUCUACUGGUUCUUAGGCCUUUGGAGUCAGACUGGAACUACAGCAUUGACUCUUCCGGAACUCCAGCUUACUGACUACAGAUCUUGGAACUUUUCAGCUUCCACAACCAUAAUGAAAGCCAAGCAUAUUCCAUCAUUUCCUAAAACCAAGAUAGAGCACAUAUGGGAACUUGUGAAAUAAGGAUGCCCUGCGGUUGUUUUCAGGACUGAAGACAACAGCUCCACGAUGAAACCAAAGCACAAAGAGAGAAAGAAAAGAAAGAGAAAAAAGGAAGAAAGAAAAGAAAGAUGAAAGAAAGAAAGAGAAAGAAGAGAGAGGGAGAGAGAGAAAGAAAGAGAAGGAAAGAAAGAAGGAAGAAGAAAGAAAGAAAGAAAGAAAGAAAGAAAGAAAGAAAGAAAGAAAGAAAGAAAGAAAGAAAGAAAGAAAGAAAAAAGGAAGGAAGGAAAAGAAACACAUGGAAAGUGCUUCUUUGGACCUUUUAAGUUGCAUUAUCCCAUAAAAUGUGGUGGAUUCAAUGUUGUAUGGCCUGUAAAACUAAGUAAUGAAGGCUGAUAUGUACCCACCUGGCUCUGUCUUGGGAUCACACAACUUGGGAGCCAAAACAGAUUGCAAAUGAUGUUCAAAUCAAGGACUGGCUUAAGGGAGAAAAUCAAUUAUACUGUACAA